GCCUAAAGCGUCCGUAGCCGGCUAUGUUAGUUCUCGGUUAAAUCCAUGUGCUCAACACAUGGGCUGUCGAGAAUACUGUAUAGCUAGGGAGUGGGAGAGGUAGACGGUACUCGGUAGGAAGGGGUAAAAUCCUUUGAUCUAUCGAUGACCACCAGUGGCGAAGGCGGUCUACCAGAACACGUCCGACGGUGAGGGAUGAAAGCUGGGGGAGCAAACCGGAUUAGAUACCCGGGUAGUCCCAGCUGUAAACUAUGCAAACUCAGUGAUGCAUUGGCUUGUGGCCAGUGCGGUGCCGCAGAGAAGUCGUUAAGUUUGCCGCCUGGGAAGUACGUACGCAAGUAUGAAACUUAAAGGAAUUGGCGGGGGAGCACCACAAGGGGUGAAGCCUGCGGUUCAAUUGGAGUCAACGCCAGAAAUCUUACCCGGGGAGACAGCAGAAUGAAGGUCAAGCUGAAGACUUUACCAGACAAGCUGAGAAGUGGUGCAUGGCCGUCGCCAGCUCGUGCCGUGAGGUGUCCUGUUAAGUCAGGUAACGAGCGAGAUCCCUGCCUCUAGUUGCCGCCAUUACUCUCAGGAGUAGUGGGGCGAAUUAGCGGGACUGCCGCAGUUAAUGCGGAGGAAGGAGGGGGCCACGGCAGGUCAGUAUGCCCCGAA
rnacentral:rRNA from 1 species